UACGGAGGGUGCAAGCGUUAUCCGGAUUCACUGGGUUUAAAGGGUGCGUAGGUGGGCAGGUAAGUCAGUGGUGAAAUCUCCGAGCUUAACUCGGAAACUGCCGUUGAUACUAUUUGUCUUGAAUAUUGUGGAGGUAAGCGGAAUAUGUCAUGUAGCGGUGAAAUGCUUAGAUAUGACAUAGAACACCAAUUGCGAAGGCAGCUUACUACACGACGAUUGACGCUGAGGCACGAAAGCGUGGGGAUCAAACAGG
rnacentral:rRNA from 1 species